AUGGACUACAGCCCACCAGGCUCCUCCGUCCAUGGGAUUUUCCAGGCAAGAGUACUGAAGUGGCGUGCCAUUGCCUUCUCUGAGUUUGGGAUUAAAUUAGUGAUAACUCCUUAGAAAACCAAGUCAUCAGAAAAGAUAAAUUUAUUGCAUCCUUUCUGUACAAACUGUAUUUCAGGGUAAUAAAAUAAUUGAUAAGGAAGGGAAAGUUCGUAUGGAUAGAAUUUCGGCUAAUAAAUGCAGAAGGAAUACUGGCAUUUUAAAAAAAAUCACCAUUUUAAGCAUCUGACCAGAAUUGAAUGGAAACAUUGGCUCUUGGGUCUCGAGCUUGCUAUUUUUCAUGCUGGAAUAUACACCAUCAGCUCUCCUCCUCCUCAGACAUUUGGACUUGGUCUGGAACUGCACCAUCUGCUGUCCUGGGGCUCCAGCUUACUGACCUCAGAUCUUAGGACUUCUAACCAUCCUGAUCAGAAUGUGGCUGAAGUGACUGUGUAUCUGUUCCGGCUUACACCUGGCAACUUAAGAGUCUGGCCACCUUGCCCGAAGAAUUACAUGGAGACGCACGUGGAGAAGACCAAGGAACCCAGCCAGCAGGGGGAACCAAAGCACCAAAUAUCUGACCCUACAAGAGCCAUUCCAGCCAAUCAGUCCAAUCUAUCCAAGUGACUAAUGUGAAUGAAGCAGGCAUCCUGCAUAUUCCAGUCCAGUAC
ensembl:lncRNA